rnacentral:rRNA from 1 species
UACGAAGGGUGCAAGCGUUCCUCGGAAUUACUGGGCGUAAAGCGUGCGUAGGUGGUUUUUUAAGUCCGUUGUGAAAGCCCUGGGCUCAACCUGGGAAUGGCAGUGGAUACUGGAAAGCUAGAGUGCGGUAGAGGGUAGUGGAAUUCCCGGUGUAGCAGUGAAAUGCGUAGAGAUCGGGAGGAACACCAGUGGCGAAGGCGGCUACCUGGACCAGCACUGACACUGAGGCACGAAAGCGUGGGGAGCAAACAGG